ensembl:lncRNA
CAAAGUGAUCCACACAAUCCAAGCAUUUGUGGUAGUCAAGAGUGUGAGCUGAGAUACAUGGAAAUGGCCACCUGCUCAGAAAGAAGUCCUUCUCACUAGGCUUGAAAUGCCCAUCGGUCCUUUGGUCAUCCAGUUCUAACAUCAUGACACCAGAAGUUCCGUAUUGUACCAGUCAGGUACUCAAAUCCAAAGGGACUGACUAAAUGUAUUUGGAGGAAAUGGUAGGAAGCUUCAAGUCUUCCUUUCCCCAAAGACACCGAGUUAACACGGACCAGAACACCUCUGUGAGAACUCUAGAGACAUGUCGAGAAGCUACAGCAUGCCAUAUCAUUGUAAAACCCAAAAAGGAUUCUAAACAAAAAAGGAGGGAAAAUCUGCAGUAUUUGGCAAAGCCAUCCUGACUUUUCUUCUUUGUGGCAUAGUGCUAAGCAACUGGGAAAAAACCCUUACCCCAGGGCUCCAUCAUCCAGGAUGGAAACAAAAGAUUGGACCAUGGAUUCAGUGCUCUGGUUUAUCUGAUGGCCACCCAAGGGGCUAGCUGCUUUAUCACCUGACUGGGACAACAGCUAAGGAUACCAGGGGAAGAAUCUGGAAACAAAGGUGGAGCCUCCGAUUAGAGCUGCGGUUCCACAAGCAGACACCAGAGGGAACAAAAGAACAGGAAAGAUGGGAGCCAUCCUUGCUCCACUAGUACUGCUGUGAAGGUCUUCCCCUACAAGGAGCCAGACUGUGGAAGAGGUCCAACAGCAGACUGACCAGGAAGAAGAAAUAAUUGGCAGAAUUGAAGGCAGGUUAUUUGAAGUAAUCAAGUCAGAGGCACAAUACUCUGCCACCACCAGCACGGCCACACACGACCUGGACCACACACCCACUGGCACCUGACGAUGACUCGGGCUCUGCCACCAUGGAGGACAUGACCAAGUACAGCAACAGAGGAAUUCGCCCAGGGAUCCAGGAUCAUUGCAAGUAAGAACCAGCAGAAUGAUGGUAAAAUGUUCAUAGGAGGCUUGAGCUGGGAUACAAGCAAGAAAGAUCUGACUGAAUAUUUGUCUUGAUUUGGGGAAGUUAUAGACUGAACAAUUAAAACAGAUCCAGUCACUGGAAGAUCAAGAGGAUUUGGAGUUUUGCUUUUGAAAGAUGCUGCUAGCAUUGAUAAGGUUUGGGAACUAAAAGAACACAAACUGGAUGGAAAAUUGCUAGACUCCAAGAGGGCCAAUGCUUUAAAAAGGAAAUAACCCCCUAAAAGGUUUUUGUGCGUGAAUUGAGCCCAGAUACUUCUGAAGAACAAAGUAAAGAAUAUUUUGGAGCAGUCAACAGAGCAACUAUGGCAGGGAAUCUGGAGGGGGAUAACCAGCCAUACUAAAGGGGAAGACACUGGAGAAAACAGAAGAUGAUAAAGAAAUCCAUCUUGCAGGAUGACUUUGAAGAUUGGUCUUCUGUUGCUCUAAUGAUUGCUUCAUAAAAGACUUGCUAGUGUACAAGACACAAGGAUGUCCAACUAUAUAGGCAUCAAUUAGUUUUCUUUUUUACUUUGUCCUUUGCUAUCUGUGUUAUGACUUAAAGUGGAUUUGUGUUUAUACAAAUUUUAUUUGUAAGAUUUCAUGUUAAACCCCAAAUAAAUGCUUCUUUAUGUGAUUGUUUAAAAAAAAAAAUCAAGUCAGAGGAACCCAAAGAAGAGGGAAGAAAAUUAAAUAGCACUUAAUGGACACACAGGACAUCAUGAAGUAGAUUAACAUACACAGUAUAGAAAUCCUACAAGAACAAAGAGAAGAAGCAAAAGAGCUUAUUUGAAGAAAUAAUGGACCAAAAUGUCCCAAAUCCUAUGGGGAAAAAAUGAAUGUAAAUGGAUCAAGAAGCUAAAAGAUCCCCAACAAGGACAAAUUCAAAGAGAAUCACACCAAAACAUAUAUAAUUAAACACC